AUAGAUAGUGGGGGUGUUUUUCCCCGACCCCGGCAGUCUCGUCGUCUCCUUCUUCACCUCCGAUGCUUUCUUCUUUAUUCUUGAAUUUGACUGACCCAAAUUUGAAUGUCAGUCUAGUCGACUGACAACAUUUUGGCUAUUAUGAUAUCAGAAAGGCCACAUGCUCGCUCCGCCACUCGCCGGAGCUGCCGCCGCACCAGAGAAGAGAAAAAGCUUUGAGAGCAUCUCUCGAUCUGAGAGAAAGAAACAUACUAUAGUGGACGGGGGGCCGCGGCAGCAUGUGCGAUGCUCAAAGGUCUCCCAGAUCGAUGCCCGUGUGCGGCACCACCAUACUCUACUUCGCGAUCUCGUCCUGUGCUCCGCCGCCAGCAGCCCCCACUACCUCCUCCGUGCCUUUACACCAAGGAUCCAAUCAGCGCAAGAUCCAGCCCAAAUCCAACUGCCUCGCUACGAAUCGCGAGGACCCAAGCUCGGAUUUUGGAGAAGGGGGCGGAGGCUCAGAGGUGCCGGUGCGGCAGGCCCGGGGAUUUUUAUUUUCAGGUGGAAGCCGACGGCGCUCUGGCCGGUGAGGGCGUUGGCGGAGUAUCACGCGCCGUUGGAACACACGCCUCGCGGUGUCCGACGCCGGGGAGCUGCAGGUGGACUCUGGCGACGGCGGGCUGUGGUCGGUUCUUUUUAUCGACGCUGCCGGCCGGAGGACAUCGACUGCCCCGGGUAGCCGCUCUCCUCCGCCCGCCUUCGCAGUGGGGUUCCGGUUCAGCCGCGCGGUGGCUGACGCCUGACGGGCCCGGGGCGGUGCAGUUCACGUGCGCGGUUGGGGAGCCGGCGCCUGGGGCGGAUCGGGUGGCGCCGGCUUGAGAUCUGGGAACGCUUAUUGGAGAUGGGGAAAAAAUCUGAGCUUGACUGAAAAACAGAGCAAAAAUGGCGAUGGUCCUGGAUGCCUUUGCAUCGUACGUGCAAAAUAUGCUCAUCGAGACGGUGAACGAAGAGGUGCACAUGCUGCUUGGAGUCGGAGACGAGAUCGACAGGAUGGAUGUCAAGCUUAGGGACCUCAAGAACUUCCUUGCCGACGCUGACAGGAGAAACAUCACUGACAAGAGUGUCCAGGAGUGGGUGGGGCAGCUCAAGGGCGCCAUGUAUGAAGCUACCGACAUCCUCGACCUUUGCCAGCUCAAGGCCAUGGAGGAAGGUCCAUCCACUGUAGGUGUGGGGUGUUUCAACCCCUUGCUCUUUUGCUUAGAGGCAGGGUGCUUCAACCCCUUGCUCUUCUGCAUGCGGAAUCCAUCCCAUGCCCACGACAUCGCCACCCGCAUCAAGGCGCUCAACAAGAGGCUCGACAUCAUCAAGGAGCGAAGCGCUGCUUUCAGUUUCAUCAAUCUUGGUUCCUAUGAGGAUCGUGGGAGCAAGGUGCACAGCUUUCAUUCUCAGAAUACCAGCCGUGAGACAUCAGGGGAGUUCGACCGGUCAGGUGUAGUCGGAGAGAAGAUCGACCAGGACACAAGAAAGCUUGUCGAGAUCAUGCUCACUGAAAAGGGGGGCAGCACCAACAUCAUGGUGGUCGCCAUUGUUGGCAUCGGCGGGAUCGGCAAGACCACUCUUGCCCAGAAGGUCUUCAAUGACGAAACUGUUAAGGCUGAGUUCGAUGACACAAUAUGGUUGAGCAUUAACCAGGACUUUGACAAGGUUGAGUUACUCAGGACAGUCAUCACGCUCGCCGGGGGAGUACACGGAGGUGAAAAGGCGUUGGCUGUGCUUCAGCCAAUCCUUACUACUGCCUUGACCGGAAAGAAGCUAUUGCUAGUGCUAGAUGAUGUGUGGAGCCAUGGAGCAUGGGGCAAUGUGCUUGAAAUACCCUUGGCUAAUGUUGUGGCUCGAGGUAGCCGAGUCCUUGUCACUACUAGAGAUGAAAGAGUUGCCCGAGGGAUGAAAGCUGUUCUUCCUUACCAUCAUGUCGACAAAUUAGAGGAAGAGGAUGCCUGGUCAUUGCUUAAGAAACAGAUAGUCUCAAGUGAGACAAAUGGACGUGAAAUUGAUAUGCUCAAGGAUAUUGGGUUGCAAAUUAUAACAAAAUGUGAUGGUUUGCCUCUUGCUGUCAAAGUGAUGGGAGGACUCUUGUGCCAAAAGGAGAAAAAGCGCAGUGACUGGAAGAUGGUUCUAGAUGAUUCUAUGUGGUCAGUAUCUGGAAUGCCCGAAGAGUUAAACCAUGCAGUAUAUUUAAGCUAUGAAGAUUUACCUUCUAGCAUGAAACAAUGCUUUCUAUGCUACUCCCUUCUCCCAAAAAUUGCAUUAUUCGAAAGGGACAACAUAAUUGGCUUGUGGAUUAGUGAAGGAUUUCUUCACGGAGCCUCCGACGACUUAGAAGAACUAGGAAAUAAGUACUAUAAGGAGCUGAUACUGAGGAACCUCAUAGAGCCAAAUACAGAGUACGCUAAUCAAUCUGUCUGCACCGUGCAUGAUGUUGUACGCUCAUUUGCUCAAUUUGUGGCUAGAGAUGAGGCACUAGCAGCUCACAGUGGAGAAACUAGUAUUGUUAGUAAACUUCGUGCAAAGAAGUUUCUUCGGUUGUCUCUAGAAAGCAAAUCAUCAGAAUCAGACGGGCUAGAGUGGAGUUCUUUACAAGCACAAAGCACACUGAGAACACUAAUAUCAGUUGGACACAUAAAUUUGAAGCAUGGUGAUUCGUUGGUUAAUUUUCCAUGCAUACGUACUUUACAUAUAGAUUCUGCACAUGUUGUUACACUGGUUGAAUCUUUACAUGAAAUCAAGCACCUGAGGUACUUGUCCUUCCGCUACUGUGAUAUAUCUAGUCUGCCAGAUAGCAUUGGAGAGAUGAAAUUCUUGCAGUACAUUAACCUUGCAGGAUGCCAACAAUUUCUGAAACUUCCAGAUAGCAUUGUAAAAUUAGGGCAGCUAAGGUAUCUUAACUUGGAUAACACCAAUAUAAAUGGCAUACCUAAGGGGUUCCGUGUUCUAACAAAUUUGAGAAUAGUAUCUGGGUUUCCAGCCCAGGAAGAGGAUGAUUGGUGUAGUUUGGAAGAGUUGGCCCCUCUUUCUCGGCUCAAGAUACUUGGACUACAGGGAUUGGAGAAUGUAUCUGCUUCCUCAUCCGCAGCAAAGGCAAAGCUUAGCGAGAAGGUGCAUCUUACUGGCCUAUCCUUGAUCUGUGAUUAUAGAUUGUAUGUGUUGAUUGCGGAGCAAGGUACUAGUGUCUCUGAGGAAGAACAUCAAAAGAUUGAGAAGGUGUUUGAUGAGCUCUGCCCUCCGCCCAACUUAGAUUUUCUUUACAUUAAUGGAUAUUUUGGCCGUCGACUCCCAAGGUGGAUGAUGUCAUCAUCAGUUGUGGCUCUAAAGAGCUUGAGGACUUUGAUGGUUCACGACCUGGCUUGCUGCACAGAGCUUCCUGAUGGCUUGUGUCAGCUUCCUUAUUUGGAGUUCAUUCAGAUCUCUCGUGCACCAAUCAUCAAGCGUAUUGGCCCUGAAUUCAUGCAGCCCUACCACCACCAUGGUCUUCAUCCAACCCAGGUGGCUGUUGCCUUUCCGAGAUUGAGCAAGAUGUUCUUAACGGAAAUGGUGGAAUGGGAGGAAUGGGAAUGGAAGGAGCAAGUGCAAGCCUUUCCUGUCCUGCACGAGCUUGUGCUAAAGCACUGCAAAUUGAAGCGUCUUCCUCUUGGCCUUGCCUCUCAGGCAAGGACUUUGAAUAAAUUAUUCAUACAAUAUGUCUAUGGUUUGAUCUCUGUAGAGAACUUUCCAUCUCUCGUCGAGCUGCAUGUCACUCUAGACUUUGACCUGGAGAGGAUAUCUAAUCUUCCCAGGCUGCAGAAGCUUGCAAUCGGCGGGUGCUCAAAGUUGAAGGUGCUGGAGGGUGUUCCCUCACUCCAAUGGAUCAUGCUCGCGGAUGCAGACAUGGAUACACUCCCAGAAUACAUGGGAAGUAUAUGCCCAAGGUAUUUGGAGCUACUCUGUGGCCUAGGGCUGCUCACUUCUUUAGCCAUGGGACAAUCUGGCCCCGAGUGGGACAAGUUCAGCCAUGUUGGGCAUGUCAAGGCGUAUGCACAUGAAGAAAAUAAUAGGAAUGAAUGGUAUGUCUUGUACACAGCUGACCCCUACAACUUGGAAACAAAUGCCAGCCGUUCUUUCAUGUCUAGAGGAACCUUAUGUUCGUUUGUGGAUGCCCAAAGGUUUGAGUAUGUCUUCAAAAUGACAAGAAAAACCUUUAGUUACAUCUGCAGCUUGGUGAAGUGGGCAUCACUGAAAGAUAUGGACAGCUACACCUUUGUUGACGGGAGGGUGCUGUCUUUAGAAGAUCGGGUAGCCGUUGCUCUGAGAAGACUGCACUCUGCUGAGCUACCAGAGACCUUUGGAUCCUCUGUUGGUGUGAACGAGUCAACCAUCUCGUUGGUAACUGAGAGGUUUGUUGCUGCUGUGUACACCCACGCAAUGCAGAGCUGGCCAGGCUCCAGCGAAAUGGAUAAGAUCAAAUCCAUGUUUGGCAAGAUCUACAAUAUGGAAAACUGUUGCGGUGUUAUAUGUACAACCCACAUCCCAUUUGGACCAAACUGGGAUCAUGAGAAGAAUGUCAGCAUUCUAAUGCAAGUCGUCGUCGAUCCAAAGACGAGGUUUACAAGCAUUUGGGUCGGAUCAGCAGGUAAUGUGAACCGGUUGGCCGUUUUGCAUGACUCUCCAUUCUUUGAGCAGUGCGAGAAGGGGGUUCGCCUGAAUGGCAGCAAGCUGAAGGUAGGAUUAGAUGGAUCAGAAGUCGGGGAAUACAUAAUUGGUGAUGCAGGACAACCUCUUCUCCCCUGGUUGCUCACACCUUACCAAGAAGAAGACCACUCAGACUCCAACUCGGAGUUCAAUAGAAGACACUCCGCAGCCACAUCCUGCAUGCUGAAGGCGCUGGCGAGGUUCAGAAAUACAUGGAAGUACCUGCAGGAAGAGACAUGGCGUCCGGUCAGUCCAGACACUCUGUGUAAGACAAUCUAUGCCUGCUGCUUGUUGCAUAACAUGGUCAUAGAUAUGGGGGAUGAUGGAGUCAUGCGGAACAUUUAUGGGAAUUACCGUGAGGAAGUGCGCCAGAUAGCAAACGAGGACCCCGUCAGGGCGAGGGACAUGCUGUCGGAAUACUUCUUGAGCACUAUGUCAUCCGAAUCAGGAGUAUUUACUCGGAACAGUGGAUGCAGAGGAGGAUGAUGAAGUAGGCGCAUCAGGCUCAGAGGAUGAAGACAAGGAAGAAAAGGCAGAGACAAUAACAGCAGAUGGAGGCAACAUUAGUCAAUAGAUCAUCAUCUAGAAAAACUUCUUCCAGCUUCAUCCUAAGUACUACUUCUAGCACGCUGUGGAGGCUUUUAAAUGCAUGAAUUCAGAGCAGCCCUGGCAAGUGAAGCUUUGCAUUUGUCACUAGUGCUAGCACUCUCUGCUUUGGAGUCUUGUUAUUCCUUCCAUGAAGCAAUAUCACACUUCUCUCCUUGGUUUAUUCUUUUGAUAUGGAAAUGUUGUUUUUCUUUAAAAAAAAGAGAGGAAAACCGCCGGCCUCUGUACCUUUUAUAGAGGGAAAAGAGGUGCCCAUUCAAGGUGAAAGAUAAGCCGGCGUCCCGCUGGUUGGAGUUUUGGAUGCAUGAGUCCGGAGCAGCCCUGGUAAUGGAGCCAGAGACAACUUUGGUGCUGCAGCAUGAAUUGAAAUCAGACAAUUUUUUAAAAGUUUGGUCAUCUACCUAGUUGGGCAAAGGCAAGUGUUGUUAUGCAGUCUGUAGUUCUGUACUGCAAACACUACUGUAGAAAGUGCAAUGCUGCAAAGUGGCAUGGUGGAAAAUUCAAAACCAAAUACACCUGAAGACAAUACUGUAGAAAGUACAAUAGUGCCAUCUUAUUGAGCUGAUUGGCAUGCAAAAUGUACAAUUCGGUGGUGGUACAAUACAGCUAUUAGUCAAGACCAA